rnacentral:rRNA from 1 species
UACCAGCACCCCGAGUGGUCGGGACGUUUAUUGGGCCUAAAGCAUCCGUAGCCGGUUCUGCAAGUCUUCCGUUAAAUCCACCUGCUUAACAGAUGGGCCGCGGAAGAUACUAUAGAGCUAGGAGGCGGGAGAGGCAAGCGGUACUCGAUGGGUAGGGGUAAAAUCCGUUGAUCCAUUGAAGACCACCAGUGGCGAAGGCGGCUUGCCAGAACGCGCUCGGCGGUGAGGGAUGAAAGCUGGGGGAGCAAACCGG